rnacentral:rRNA from 1 species
CGAAUGCUGACAUAAGUAACGAUAAAGCGGGUGAAAAGCCCGCUCGCCGGAAGACCAAGGGUUCCUGUCCAACGUUAAUCGGGGCAGGGUGAGUCGACCCCUAAGGCGAGGCCGAAAGGCGUAGUCGAUGGGAAACAGGUUAAUAUUCCUGUACUUGGUGUUACUGCGAAGGGGGGACGGAGAAGGCUAUGUUGGCCGGGCGACGGUUGUCCCGGUUUAAGCGUGUAGGCUGGUUUUCCAGGCAAAUCCGGAAAAUCAAGGCUGAGGCGUGAUGACGAGGCACUACGGUGCUGAAGCAACAAAUGCCCUGCUUCCAGGAAAAGCCUCUAAGCAUCAGGUAACAUCAAAUCGUACCCCAAACCGACACAGGUGGUCAGGUAGAGAAUACCAAGGCGCUUGAGAGAACUCGGGUGAAGGAACUAGGCAAAAUGGUGCCGUAACUUCGGGAGAAGGCACGCUGAUAUGUAGGUGAAGUCCCUUGCGGAUGGAGCUGAAAUCAGUCGAAGAUACCAGCUGGCUGCAACUGUUUAUUAAAAACACAGCACUGUGCAAACACGAAAGUGGACGUAUACGGUGUGACGCCUGCCCGGUGCCGGAAGGUUAAUUGAUGGGGUCAGCGCAAGCGAAGCUCUUGAUCGAAGCCCCGGUAAACGGCGGCCGUAACUAUAACGGUCCUAAGGUAGCGAAAUUCCUUGUCGGGUAAGUUCCGACCUGCACGAAUGGCGUAAUGAUGGCCAGGCUGUCUCCACCCGAGACUCAGUGAAAUUGAACUCGCUGUGAAGAUGCAGUGUACCCGCGGCAAGACGGAAAGACCCCGUGAACCUUUACUAUAGCUUGACACUGAACAUUGAGCCUUGAUGUGUAGGAUAGGUGGGAGGCUUUGAAGUGUGGACGCCAGUCUGCAUGGAGCCGACCUUGAAAUACCACCCUUUAAUGUUUGAUGUUCUAACGUUGACCCGUGAUCCGGGUUGCGGACAGUGUCUGGUGGGUAGUUUGACUGGGGCGGUCUCCUCCUAAAGAGUAACGGAGGAGCACGAAGGUUGGCUAAUCCUGGUCGGACAUCAGGAGGUUAGUGCAAUGGCAUAAGCCAGCUUGACUGCGAGCGUGACGGCGCGAGCAGGUGCGAAAGCAGGUCAUAGUGAUCCGGUGGUUCUGAAUGGAAGGGCCAUCGCUCAACGGAUAAAAGGUACUCCGGGGAUAACAGGCUGAUACCGCCCAAGAGUUCAUAUCGACGGCGGUGUUUGGCACCUCGAUGUCGGCUCAUCACAUCCUGGGGCUGAAGUAGGUCCCAAGGGUAUGGCUGUUCGCCAUUUAAAGUGGUACGCGAGCUGGGUUUAGAACGUCGUGAGACAGUUCGGUCCCUAUCUGCCGUGGGCGCUGGAGAACUGAGGGGGGCUGCUCCUAGUACGAGAGGACCGGAGUGGACGCAUCACUGGUGUUCGGGUUGUCAUGCCAAUGGCACUGCCCGGUAGCUAAAUGCGGAAGAGAUAAGUGCUGAAAGCAUCUAAGCACGAAACUUGCCCCGAGAUGAGUUCUCCCUGACUCCUUGAGAGUCCUGAAGGAACGUUGAAGACGACGACGUUGAUAGGCC